rnacentral:rRNA from 1 species
GCAAGUCGAACGAACUUCCGUUAAUUGAUUAUGACGUGCUUGCACUGAAUGAGAUUUUAACACGAAGUGAGUGGCGGACGGGUGAGUAACACGUGGGUAACCUGCCCAGAAGCAGGGGAUAACACCUGGAAACAGAUGCUAAUACCGUAUAACAGAGAAAACCGCCUGGUUUUCUUUUAAAAGAUGGCUCUGCUAUCACUUCUGGAUGGACCCGCGGCGCAUUAGCUAGUUGGUGAGGUAACGGCUCACCAAGGCGAUGAUGCGUAGCCGACCUGAGAGGGUAAUCGGCCACAUUGGGACUGAGACACGGCCCAGACUCCUACGGGAGGCAGCAGUAGGGAAUCUUCCACAAUGGACGCAAGUCUGAUGGAGCAACGCCGCGUGAGUGAAGAAGGGUUUCGGCUCGUAAAGCUCUGUUGUUAAAGAAGAACGUGGGUGAGAGUAACUGUUCACCCAGUGACGGUAUUUAACCAGAAAGCCACGGCUAACUACGUGCCAGCAGCCGCGGUAAUACGUAGGUGGCAAGCGUUAUCCGGAUUUAUUGGGCGUAAAGCGAGCGCAGGCGGUCUUUUAAGUCUAAUGUGAAAGCCUUCGGCUCAACCGAAGAAGUGCAUUGGAAACUGGGAGACUUGAGUGCAGAAGAGGACAGUGGAACUCCAUGUGUAGCGGUGAAAUGCGUAGAUAUAUGGAAGAACACCAGUGGCGAAGGCGGCUGUCUGGUCUGUAACUGACGCU